CCAAAGGUGCGUAAACGACGCUACAGUAUCUAUGUGUCGUCCCUGCGCAUGAAAAUUCCACUAUGUGGAAAAUCAUAAGUUUUCGGUAGACACUUUUAAACUUAAAUGUUUUGAAACAUUAUGCUCUACUUUUAGAUGAAAAUCUAGAUUAGCUAAAA